AGGUAAUCCAAAAAACUGUAUGUAAAAUCCAGCAACGAUCUGACACCAGAUAUGUACAAACUGACGAGCUCUACACCUGCUCAAAAUUAGAUCAUGAAAAUAAUACAGUACAUUUUUUUUCCAGAAACCCCAAAAGAGAAAAAUCAGACAGCAGACAACUUAAACCUUUUGUGAACAAAUUGUAUAAAAGAUAUAAAGUUUCCAGAUGCUAUUUUUCAGAACGUAGCUAGACUCUAGUGCAAAGAGCGAGAAUCAACAUCAAACAGGGCUGGCUGCUGCGACCUUUCAUACUUAACCCACAAUCAAGACACCCUAGUGCGUGCAUAAUAUACAACCCCAUCAUAAGAACAUAACAUAUUCGCAUCAUGCCUCAUUUUCAUCAUCAUCAUCUCAAUGUUGAGCUGCUCCACUCCCUCUGAUGAACGUACCACGGCGAUCACCCCCAACAACCACAUCUUUCAAUCGAGAUAGUGGACCAAACAUCCUGCUAAUCCUCUCACUAUGGACUCCAGCCUGCCACUUCAUUUGCAAUACUUGCCACCUUUCUUGCUGCCACUUCUGACCAAUCAUCACAAGACCCAUAACAGCAGCAGCAAUGAAAAUAGACCAUAAUGCAUUUGUGUCUUUUGCAUGGGCAACUAGGGAAGCAGCCCGUCUUUUCCACCAUGCUUGACAAGGAAGGUUACCGGCAUCAUAAUCAUCUUCAUCUUUUGUAUUUGGCAAAUUCGAACUGACCGACUCUAAAACCUGGUGAGAGGGUUCAACUGAUUCUUCAAGAAUGUUGGUUUCCUCUGUUGUUACUGAGAAACCCAUGUGUUCUUCACUCUGGUAUGAACUAUAGUUAGCAACACCAAAGAUACUCUGCUCUUUGUUUACCAAACUUAAGCGUUGCAGGGCUGCAUCUUCUUCAAAUUCUGCACCAAUAGAUAACCGGUUACCCUUUUCAUCAAAAAAUUGAAUACCAGGUAAUUCUGGUGUGCUCGAUCCUUUAGUUUCUGUACUUCCUUCAUAAAAAUCUGAUUUACCCUCUUCAUUAGCAACAAGUUCUGGAGCAGCAUCUUCAUCUUCCUGAUCAUUAUUGAUCUCAUUAACAUCAGGUUCCAAUGGCAAAUUCUCAUGUUGGCUUGGUGGAAAGACAAAGUGUCCAGACAUAAACAUUGCCUGGGAAGUUUCAGCCACAUACUCUGUGCUACUGCCAUUAUCAUCAUUCGAGUCAACCUGCUUUGGACCA
rnacentral:misc_RNA from 1 species